GUCUACGGCCAUGCUACUCUGAACAGGCCGGAUCCCAUCUGAUCUGGGAAGCUAAGCAGGGUGAGGCCUGGUUAGUACUUGGAUGGGAGACCACCUAGGAAGACCAGGUGCUGUAGGCA
rnacentral:rRNA from 1 species